rnacentral:rRNA from 1 species
CCUUUGACGUUAGCGGCGGACGGGUGAGUAACACGUGGGUAACCUACCUAUAAGACUGGGAUAACUUCGGGAAACCGGAGCUAAUACCGGAUAAUAUUUCGAACCGCAUGGUUCGAUAGUGAAAGAUGGUUUUGCUAUCACUUAUAGAUGGACCCGCGCCGUAUUAGCUAGUUUGUAAGGUAACGGCUUACCAAGGCGACGAUACGUAGCCGACCUGAGAGGGUGAUCGGCCACACUGGAACUGAGACACGGUCCAGACUCCUACGGGAGGCAGCAGAC